rnacentral:rRNA from 1 species
UACGUAGGGUGCAAGCGUUUAAUCGGAAUUACUGGGCGUAAAGCGUGCGCAGGCGGUUUUGUAAGUUUGUCGUGAAAGCCCCGGGCUCAACCUGGGAAUUGCGAUGAAGACUGCAAGGCUUGAAUCUGGCAGAGGGGGGUAGAAUUCCACGUGUAGCAGUGAAAUGCGUAGAGAUGUGGAGGAACACCGAUGGCGAAGGCAACCCCCUGGGCUAACACUGACGCUCAUGCACGAAAGCGUGGGGAGCAAACAGG